UGAGGAAUAUUGGUCAAUGGGCGAGAGCCUGAACCAGCCAAGUCGCGUGAAGGAAGAAUGUCCUAUGGAUUGUAAACUUCUUUUGUAGGGGGAUAAAAAAGGCUACGUGUAGUCUCUUGUAGGUACCCUACGAAUAAGGAUCGGCUAACUCCGUGCCAGCAGCCGCGGUAAUACGGAGGAUCCAAGCGUUAUCCGGAUUUAUUGGGGUUAAAGGGUGUGUAGGCGGGCUAUUAAGUCAGUGGUGAAAGGUUGACGCUCAACGUUAACAUUGCCAUUGAAACUGGUAGUCUUGAGUGCAAAUGAGGCAGGUGGAAUGUGUUGUGUAGCGGUGAAAUGCUUAGAUAUGACACAGAACACCAAUUGCGAAGGCAGCUUGCUGGAAUGUAACUGACGCUGAGGCACGAAAGCGUGGGGAUCAAACA
rnacentral:rRNA from 1 species